UACGUAGGGCGCAAGCGUUGUCCGGAAUUAUUGGGCGUAAAGCGCGUGUAGGCGGCGUUGCAAGUCGGGUGUGAAAGCCCUCAGCUCAACUGAGGAAGUGCGCCCGAAACUGCAGUGCUUGAGUACCGGAGAGGGUGGCGGAAUUCCCCAAGUAGAGGUGAAAUUCGUAGAUAUGGGGAGGAACACCGGUGGCGAAGGCGGCCCCCUGGACGGAUACUGACGCUGAGACGCGAAAGCGUGGGUAGCAAACAGG
rnacentral:rRNA from 1 species